GACGAACGCUGGCGGCGUGCUUAACACAUGCAAGUCGAACGGAAAGGCCCUGCUUUUGUGGGGUGCUCGAGUGGCGAACGGGUGAGUAACACGUGAGUAACCUGCCCUUGACUUUGGGAUAACUUCAGGAAACUGGGGCUAAUACCGGAUAGGAGCUCCUGCUGCAUGGUGGGGGUUGGAAAGUUUCGGCGGUUGGGGAUGGACUCGCGGCUUAUCAGCUUGUUGGUGGGGUAGUGGCUUACCAAGGCUUUGACGGGUAGCCGGCCUGAGAGGGUGACCGGCCACAUUGGGACUGAGAUACGGCCCAGACUCCUACGGGAGGCAGCAGUGGGGAAUAUUGCACAAUGGGCGGAAGCCUGGUGCAGCAACGCCGCGUGCGGGAUGACGGCCUUCGGGUUGUAAACCGCUUUCGCCUGUGACGAAGCGUGAGUGACGGUAAUGGGUAAAGAAGCACCGGCUAACUACGUGCCAGCAGCCGCGGUGAUACGUAGGGUGCGAGCGUUGUCCGGAUUUAUUGGGCGUAAAGGGCUCGUAGGUGGUUGAUCGCGUCGGAAGUGUAAUCUUGGGGCUUAACCCUGAGCGUGCUUUCGAUACGGGUUGACUUGAGGAAGGUAGGGGAGAAUGGAAUUCCUGGUGGAGCGGUGGAAUGCGCAGAUAUCAGGAGGAACACCAGUGGCGAAGGCGGUUCUCUGGGCCUUUCCUGACGCUGAGGAGCGAAAGCGUGGGGAGCGAACAGGCUUAGAUACCCUAGUAGUCCACGCUGUAAACGGUGGGUACUAGGUGUGGGGUCCAUUCCACGGGUUCCGUGCCGUAGCUAACGCUUUAAGUACCCCGCCUGGGGAGUACGGCCGCAAGGCUAAAACUCAAAGGAAUUGACGGGGCCCCGCACAAGCGGCGGAGCAUGCGGAUUAAUUCGAUGCAACGCGUAGAACCUUACCUGGGUUUGACAUGGAUCGGGAGUGCUCAGAGAUGGGUGUGCCUCUUUUGGGGUCGGUUCACAGGUGGUGCAUGGCUGUCGUCAGCUCGUGUCGUGAGAUGUUGGGUUAAGUCCCGCAACGAGCGCAACCCUUGUUCACUGUUGCCAGCACGUUAUGGUGGGGACUCAGUGGAGACCGCCGGGGUCAACUCGGAGGAAGGUGGGGAUGACGUCAAGUCAUCAUGCCCCUUAUGUCCAGGGCUUCACGCAUGCUACAAUGGCUGGUACAGAGAGUGGCGAGCCUGUGAGGGUGAGCGAAUCUCGGAAAGCCGGUCUCAGUUCGGAUUGGGGUCUGCAACUCGACCUCAUGAAGUCGGAGUCGCUAGUAAUCGCAGAUCAGCAACGCUGCGGUGAAUACGUUCCCGGGGCU
rnacentral:rRNA from 1 species